UAGGGAAUCUUCGGCAAUGGGGGCAACCCUGACCGAGCAACGCCGCGUGAGUGAAGAAGGUUUUCGGAUCGUAAAGCUCUGUUGUAAGAGAAGAACGUGUGUGAGAGUGGAAAGUUCACACAGUGACGGUAACUUACCAGAAAGGGACGGCUAACUACGUGCCAGCAGCCGCGGUAAUACGUAGGUCCCGAGCGUUGUCCGGAUUUAUUGGGCGUAAAGCGAGCGCAGGCGGUUUAAUUAGUCUGAAGUUAAAGGCAGUGGCUUAACCAUUGUUCGCUUUGGAAACUGUUAAACUUGAGUGCAGAAGGGGAGAGUGGAAUUACAUGUGUAGCGGUGAAAUGCGUAGAUAUAUGGAGGAACACCGGUGGCGAAAGCGGCUCUCUGGUCUGUAACUGACGCUGAGGCUCGAAAGCGUGGGGAGCAAACAGG
rnacentral:rRNA from 1 species